rnacentral:lncRNA from 1 species
CUAAAAACAGGAUCGCAUCCAGGUUACAGUAUUGAAAUUAGAAUCAACCACUAUAAAUAAACAAUGUCUUACAACCUCAGAUCAUCUUCGAUGAGAAGAAUCACUGCCAAUCUAUUUAAAUUAUGAUUACAACUGAAUCUCAACAAUUCUAUCUAGAACCAACCUUGACAAUCUCCCUGAACAUUUCCACUUGUCCUCUGUAUACUCUAUACUCUGACUCCUCGCCUAGCCUUAGCCAUACUCGCAAUCUCAAUCAUGCAAUUCAUCUUUCAACUUUUCUGAAAUGGUUAGAAAGGAAUAGCAAGGGUGAGCAACAAUGCUCAGCAAGUGUAUAUAAGCAAAAAUAGUCCUGAAUAUCUUAUCAGGGUUCACAAGAUCAAGAUAUGUAAUUGAAAACUUCACAAUUCUUAUCAGCAAUUGAAAUCAGAAUUCAAACUUACAGAAGAAUUGUCGAAUUGGAUUCAUCACAUUUUUACUUAAAAACCAAAGGUUAGGCUGCUGAUCAGUCACGCACUAACCCCGAACAUGGCACACAGCCCUGUUCUCUAUACUGGAUCCAAGGCACACAUUGGCCUAUAAUUGACCACGAAUCUGGUCUGACCACGAAUCUGGUCCACAUAUUUUAUAAAAACUAAUCCAAUUCUAACAAUUUAAAUCAAUAGACAAUUCAAUCAACAGAACAGAAUCAUAAUCAUUAUCAACAACAGAAAUAUUUCAAAUCAACUUUUGGGAAUCAACAUUUCAUAAACCACAAUCUGUCUUUUGAUAAAUCAUAGUUCAGGAAAUUCCUAACUAUUCAGUAUCCUCCAUUAUCGGCUAAGCAACUGAAUUUAGCCUGCUAAACCAGCAUGACAAUGGCGGGUUGAAUAAUCAAGAAGAUCCCAGUUCAUUCUAGGUUCUAACUAUCACUGAGCAACACAUGCUUCAAUGACGGUCUGAACUUCGAAUUAAUUUGUAAAGCUGGUAUUUUUAAUAUCUUGAGGAUUGGAAAGAAUGGAUCAGAAUACUUGUAAUAGAAAUUGAGAGUAAUUAGGUGUUUGGAUUUUCAAAACUUGGAAGAAGAAAACAAUCAUGGGUUUCAUGCUCAGAAGUAAGAGUUUAUUUGAGAAGGGUUUCAGUAUAAACAAUAUCAUAAUCUUGACAGAAUAAUCAGAACAUGCAAUAUAUAUAUGAGGAAGGAUUUAGGAAAACUUGCCUUAAAUCCGAUUCCAGUCUCAUAUCUCAAUCUCAUCUUUCCACUUUCACACUCUAUGCAUAUCAUAGUCUCUAGACCAUCUUUGGCUAUACUCUAUUCGCCACACUGCUUCGUUUACUCGAUUCGUUCCUUAUUCGCUUUGUAACAUCGUUUGACCUUCUGAACGUCUUCGAUCGUAUCCGUCUCGUCCAAACCCUUUACGAGAAUAAGAUACUACCAUUAUCACUAAAUAAUCUAUUGAUUCUUAUCUCUACUUAUCAACUCGGUAGCAUAACCUAUCGCAUACACAUAUCACGUAUAUCGAUACCCACUUAUAUAACUCUUUAAACUCAUCAAAUAUCACUUAACACAUAAUCAUGCUUUGACUCUACCAUAUAGUCUAAUCAUAUUUCACAUAACAUAUUAUCAAUUAAAUAUCAUAUAAAUCUUAUCGAAAAUCCGACAUCGUCUCGUCUAUUUAUUAGACUAUCCACCUGUUAUCCUAUCUUAAUCAACAAUCAACCAACCAAAUCCAAUCACUAUAAUCCAUAUGUUUUUAUCCGACAUCUAUCAAGACACGACACUAUGUCAUUUAACCGUUUAUCACAUGUAUGUAAUACUAGAACAACCAGAUAGUCCAUGCAAUCAUCAAUUAAUAGCAAUUAGAUCACAUAUAUUCAUAUUCUAUACAUUUAACAACAAUUAUUCACAUUCUAUACUCCACCAUAUUAUUAUGUCACAUUAAAAUAGACUUUAUAAGCUUUAAUCUCUUUUUCGUUUCACUCCAUUCUGAAUUACGAGUCAAAAGUUAUGAACAAAACUGUUUUCUUACUCUCUAUCGGCACAUAACACAUCAAACAGAUAGCAGACAACAUAUUUCAUAUAAGGUCUCCCAUCCCGAUUGAUGUCAAAUCAAGUCUUGGGUUAAAAAUGAUUUUUCGGGAAUUUUCUGGAAUUUCUAGACAUUUUUCGGAAUUAAAAUAGGUAAAAGAAUCCAUUUUUGAAUAAAUAAUCAAGUCCGAUUGCUCAAGAUCGGGUCCGAAAUCAUUUGAAAUCAAUUAACGAGCCUCGAACAUAUUUUAGAAAAAAUAAUUCAAAGCUCGAAACUAUUUUCCAGAAUUUUUAAAUCAAAAGGAACAAUUAAAUCCAAUUAAUUAAUCAAUUAAAAUCAAUUAAUAAUUAACUAAAUUAAUUAAUCAAUUAAUAUUUAAAUUAAUUGACCAAUUAAAAUAAUUAAUUACUAAUUAAAAUUAAUUAAGAAACUAAUUUAGAUUUAUUUUUGAAUAAAGAAAUAAUUAAAAAUUAUUUUUGGAAUUUAAAAUAAUUAAAUUUGUAAACUUUUGAAAGUUUUUGUCCAGGGUCUAAAGUGUAACUUUCAGAAGUUUCAGGGGGUGUUUUGUAAGAUUCAAAACUUGGGUACAACAACUUCACCAUCGUCAUAACUUCGGUGACCAAACAGCAAUAAGCCGCCGGCCACCUUCUACACUUGCCGGAAAACGUUUCCCGGCGUCCUCUACUCACCAUAAACUCCAGAAUUCAUGCCCACACUACAAGCAACACAUCUACAAACUCAGAAUCACCAAAAGCCAUUAGAAAUGGCCGCAAAAGCUUCGAAAAGAAGCUCGCCGCCGUUGAGUUUUAAAACUCCGUCGAGCCUCAAUUAGACGUCCCACACACAAACUAAUCAUGUGUACAGACUCUUUGCAUCGAGACCAACACACUGGUAUCAUCCUUUUCAGCCCAGAUUUCAUAAAAUAAAAACCCCCAAUUUUCAAUUGAAAACAUUCAAGAACACCUCAAGAACAUCCAAGAACACAUCUCAAGAAUCAAACCCUUAUUUCUAUAUGUUACGGAAGUCAAAAAUCGACAUAUAAUAUAUGAAAACGAAUGGCAGGAGAUGCUCUACAACAUGGAAUCAUCAAAUCAAUCAAAAAAUAUCAUUUACGAAAAUUCAUCUUUUGAAAUAAUAUAAUUCGAAUUUAAAAAGCUUAUUUAGCAAAAACCUGUCGAUUCAGCGCUGAUAUUGAUGACUACAAUAGAUUCUACGCGUCGAGAGCUUCGUUUUGACUAUUUAUACGCCUCCAUCGGAUUCCAAUAACGCCUUCAAAUCCUCGUUUGAAUAUGAAGAACACGAAGAACACCCGUUCGUCUUCUCUCGGUAUUCGUGCAGAGAAACUGACGAAAUGAUUGUACGUGCGAAAUAAACUGGUAAAGGAUAUUUAUAGAAGAAGAUAAGAGA